UGCUUAGGUAUGGCUCUUUUCUUUUCUCGUACACAGAGACAUUCACCUACUAAAAUCUCAUCAACUCUAACACAAACCCGUAUUUCUCAUUGCUGAAACCAGCAUGGAUCUUUUACUAUGUUUGCAUGCGAGUGCAAUAAUUAGCAAUGCUGGAUGUAUUGUGUUAGGAGUUAUAUAUUCUUGGGGCUGUCUCUUGGGGAUAAAGUGUCGCUACUAGCUGCGGAUCACUGGAAUCAGUUUAAUGAAAAUGUUCUAAGGUAAUUUUCAAUAAAUUUUUUCAUCUUUGUAUGCAGUCAAGUAGACUUGUAUUAUUUUGGACUGUCAAUUUGCAUUCAUGGGAUUCUGGAUGCCAUUCAUUCAAAGUGAUUCAAAACUUUUCCUUAAUUUCUUUCCUUUGAUAUUCUUUAUCUCACUUUAGGUAGGUUGCACUUUGUUUAUGCCUGAUUCAUUACUACUGCGUUUCCCAUAAUUAGGGUGGCCUUGCUCGGCAAG
rnacentral:misc_RNA from 1 species